AUUGAACGCUGGCGGCAUGCCUUACACAUGCAAGUCGAACGGCAGCACGGGAGCAAUCCUGGUGGCGAGUGGCGAACGGGUGAGUAAUAUAUCGGAACGUGCCCAGUCGUGGGGGAUAACACAGCGAAAGCUGUGCUAAUACCGCAUACGAUCUACGGAUGAAAGCGGGGGAUCGCAAGACCUCGCGCGAUUGGAGCGGCCGAUAUCAGAUUAGCUAGUUGGUGGGGUAAAGGCCCACCAAGGCGACGAUCUGUAGCUGGUCUGAGAGGACGACAGCCACACUGGAACUGAGACACGGUCCAGACUCCUACGGGAGGCAGCAGUGGGGAAUUUUUGGACAAUGGGCGCAAGCCUGAUCCAGCAAUGCCGCGUGCAGGAUGAA
rnacentral:rRNA from 1 species